rnacentral:rRNA from 1 species
UAGUUCGGAUUGUAGGCUGAAACUCGCCUACAUGAAGCUGGAAUUGCUAGUAAUCACAGGUCAGCAUACUGUGGUGAAUACGUUCCCGGGCCUUGUACACACCGCCCGCCACACCAUGAGAGUUGAGAAUACCCGAAGCCCAUGUCAAAGUGGUCGAAGGUAGGCUUGAUGAUUGGGGUGAAGUCGUAACAAGGUACC